ACGGGUGCGUAACGCGUAUACAAUCUGCCUUUCACAUAGGGAUAGCCCGAAGAAAUUUGGGUUAAUACCUAAUGGUAUAUAAGAGCGGCAUCGUUUUUAUAUUAAAGCUACGGUGGUGAAAGAUGAGUAUGCGUUCUAUUAGCUAGUUGGAGAGGUAACGGCUCCCCAAGGCGACGAUAGAUAGGGGUUCUGAGAGGGAUGUCCCCCACACUGGUACUGAGAUACGGACCAGACUCCUACGGGAGGCAGCAGUGAGGAAUAUUGGACAAUGGUCGGAAGACUGAUCCAGCCAUGCCGCGUGCAGGAUGAAGGUCCUAUGGAUUGUAAACUGCUUUUGUAAGGGAAGAAUAAGGAGUACGUGUACUUUGAUGACGGUACCUUACGAAUAAGCAUCGGCUAACUCCGUGCCAGCAGCCGCGGUAAUACGGAGGAUGCGAGCGUUAUCCGGAAUCAUUGGGUUUAAAGGGUCCGUAGGCGGGCUGAUAAGUCAGAGGUGCAAGCGCUUAGCUCAACUAAGCAACUGCCUUUGAAACUGUCAGUCUUGAAUGAUUGUGAAGUAGUUGGAAUGUGUAGUGUAGCGGUGAAAUGCUUAGAUAUUACACAGAACACCGAUAGCGAAGGCAUAUUACUAACAAUUUAUUGACGCUGAUGGACGAAAGCGUGGGGAGCGAACAGGAUUAGAUANCCUGGUAGUCCACGCUGUAAACGAUGGAUACUAGCUGUUUGGAGCAAUCUGAGUGGCUAAGCGAAAGUGAUAAGUAUCCC
rnacentral:rRNA from 1 species